GAUGAACGCUGGCGGCGUGCCUAACACAUGCAAGUCGAACGGGGUGAUUUCCUUCGGGGAAUCACUUAGUGGCGAACGGGUGAGUAACGCGUGAGGAACCUGCCUUUCAGUGGGGGACAACAGUUGGAAACGACUGCUAAUACCGCAUGAUACUAUUGAGUGGCAUCACUUGAUAGUCAAAGAUUUAUUGCUGAAAGAUGGCCUCGCGUCUGAUUAGCUAGUUGGUGGGGUAACGGCCCACCAAGGCGACGAUCAGUAGCCGGUCUGAGAGGAUGAACGGCCACAUUGGGACUGAGAUACGGCCCAGACUCCUACGGGAGGCAGCAGUGGGGAAUAUUGGGCAAUGGGGGAAACCCUGACCCAGCAACGCCGCGUGAAGGAAGAAGGCCUUCGGGUUGUAAACUUCUUUUAGCAGGGACGAAGAACGUGACGGUACCUGCAGAAAAAGCAACGGCUAACUACGUG
rnacentral:rRNA from 1 species